rnacentral:lncRNA from 1 species
UCUGCCUAUCAGAACUGCGGCGCAUUUAUGGCGAGAUCGACAGGGGGACCCACGAGAUCCGCGCCCAAGACAGAUACUUGUCUGGUGGGCCCGGGUUAGCCUGACCCCCUGUGCCUUGAGUCGGGCGAGGUGGAAUCUUGCGGCGGGGGGUCGGGUGCUCCCGAUCCCAGGCCCGCGGGUCGGGUGAGGUGGAGCUUGGUCUUCAAGGGGUCGGGGAUGCCCAACCCCGGGACAUUGGGUCGGGCGAGGCGGAGCGUGGC